rnacentral:rRNA from 1 species
UACGUAGGGGGCGAGCGUUGUCCGGAUUUAUUGGGCGUAAAGAGCUCGUAGGCGGUUUGGUAAGUCGGGUGUGAAAUCUCCACGCUCAACGUGGAGGGGCCACUCGAUACUGCCAUGACUCGAGUCCGGUAGAGGAGUGUGGAAUUCCCGGUGUAGUGGUGGAAUGCGUAGAUAUCGGGAGGAACACCAGUGGCGAAGGCGGUUGCCUGGGGCUUUGCUGACGCUGAUGCGCGAAAGCGUGGGGAGCGAUCCGG